GAUAGCGGAUAGUACCGUGAGGGAAUGGUGAAAAGUACCCCGGGAGGGGAGUGAAAUAGUACCUGAAACCGUGUGCCUACAAGCCGUGGGAGCGUCGGACAUCAGCUUGCUGGUGUCUCGUGACUGCGUGCCUUUUGAAGAAUGAGCCUGCGAGUUUGCGGUGUGUUGCGAGGUUAACCCGUGUGGGGAAGCCGUAGCGAAAGCGAGUCCGAAU
rnacentral:ncRNA from 3 species